rnacentral:rRNA from 1 species
AUAUUGCACAAUGGGGGGAACCCUGAUGCAGCAAUGCCGCGUGGGUGAAGAAGUACCCCGGUAUGUAAAGCCCUAUCGGCAGGGAGGAUAAUGACGGUACCUGACUAAGAAGCCCCGGCUAACUACGUUCCAGCAGCCGCGGUAAUACGUAGGGGGCGAGCGUUAUCCGGAUUUACUGGGUGUAAAGGGAGCGCAGGCGGCGUGGCAAGUCAGAUGUGAAAACUCGGGGCCCAACCCCGGGACUGCAUUUGAAACUGCCAUGCUGGAGUGCCGGAGAGGCAAGUGGAAUUCCUAGUGUAGCGGUGAAAUGCGUAGAUAUUAGGAGGAACACCAGUGGCGAAGGCGGCUUGCUGGACGGUAACUGACGCUGAGGCUCGAAAGCGUGGGGAGCAAACAGG